AUAAUGAUACUUCCGUAAUUCGCGGCCCGGUCAUAAAGAAGACGGGGUGGCUGAGAGGCCAAUGG
rnacentral:ncRNA from 1 species